rnacentral:misc_RNA from 1 species
CAAGAAUCGAGGCUGGCGCGCCUAUUCAAUGGGCCGUGUCCAGUCCCGCUCUUUACCUUGCCUACUGCACCGUUUGUUGCUUCCUGGCGGUGGAUUGCCGCCGCCAGGAGCUUUCAAAAACCAAGUAUAAGCAUUGAACUUCCUGACAUACGCUAAAUCGUA